rnacentral:rRNA from 1 species
CCUACGGGUGGCAGCAGUGGGGAAUAUUGGACAAUGGGGGCAACCCUGAUCCAGCCAUGCCGCGUGUGUGAAGAAGGCCCUCGGGUUGUAAAGCACUUUCAGUGAGGAAGAACGCCUGGUGGUUAAUACCCAUCAGGAAAGACAUCACUCACAGAAGAAGCACCGGCUAACUCCGUGCCAGCAGCCGCGGUAAUACGGAGGGUGCGAGCGUUAAUCGGAAUUACUGGGCGUAAAGCGCGCGUAGGUGGCUUGAUAAGCCGGUUGUGAAAGCCCCGGGCUCAACCUGGGAACGGCAUCCGGAACUGUCAAGCUAGAGUGCAGGAGAGGAAGGUAGAAUUCCCGGUGUAGCGGUGAAAUGCGUAGAGAUCGGGAGGAAUACCAGUGGCGAAGGCGGCCUUCUGGACUGACACUGACACUGAGGUGCGAAAGCGUGGGUAGCAAACAGGAUUAGAUACCCCUGUAGUU